AACGCACAUUGCACCCUCUGGUAUUCCGGGGGGUAUAUCUGUCCGAGCGUCAUUACAACCUUAAAGCCCGGCUUUUUAUUGGAUUCUAGUUCUGCUCCGGCGGGACGGGUCCGAAAUGGAUUAAUGACGUCGCGAUUACCACGGAAUCGAGCGAAUGGAAUCAUUAACGCUCUGGUUUGAAGUGGCCGACGGUCUUCUGAAGCGGUCCUUCCGGAUCGUCUUUUUAACGGUUGACCUCGGAUCAGAUAAGGAUACCCGCUGAACUUAA
rnacentral:misc_RNA from 1 species